GACGACGCUGGCGGCGUGCUUAAGACAUGCAAGUCGAACGGAGAUACUCAUGAAGCUUGCGAUUGAGAAUCUUAGUUGGCGGACGGGUGAGUAACGCGUGGGUAACCUGCCCUACUGGUCCGGGAUAACAUUCCGAAAGGGAUGCUAAGACCGGAUAUGCUCACGGCUCGGCAUCGAGCAGGGAGGAAAGGUAGCGCCAUAGGAUGGACCCGCGUCCCAUUAGCUAGUUGGUGAGGUAACGGCUCACCAAGGCGACGAUGGGUAGCCGGCCUGAGAGGGUGACCGGCCACACUGGGACUGAGACACGGCCCAGACUCCUACGGGAGGCAGCAGUCGGGAAUUUUCGGUCAAUGGGGGGAACCCGUGACCGAGCAACGCCGCGUGAGGGAAGAAGGUCUUCGGAUCGUAAACCUUUGUCAUCAGGGACGAUCAUGACGGUACCUGAGGAGGAAGCCACGGCUAACUACGUG
rnacentral:rRNA from 1 species